GCACUGCUAUGCAGGAUAGCUGGGAGAGCAUGAGACUGUUAAUCUCAGGGUCGUGGGUUUGAGCCCCAAGUUGGGCA